rnacentral:rRNA from 1 species
UACGUAGGCAGCAAACGUUGUUCGGAAUUACUGGGCGUAAGGAGUGUGUAGGCGGUCUUGUAAGUUCUGUGUGAAAUCUCCCGGCUUAACUGGGAGGGUGCGCCGAAUACUGCAAGGCUUGAGUACUGGAGAGGAUAGCGGAAUUCCUGGUGUAGCGGUGAAAUGCGUAGAUAUCAGGAGGAACACCGGCGGUGUAGACGGCUGUCUGGACAGUAACUGACGCUGAAACACGAAAGCGUGGGGAGCAAACAGG